GGAGAGAUGCCGGAGUGGUCGAACGGGGCGGUCUCGAAAAUCGCUGUUCCGGGUAACCGGAACCGGGGGUUCGAAUCCCUCUCUCUCCGCCA
rnacentral:tRNA from 2 species